rnacentral:rRNA from 1 species
UUAAGCGACUAAGCGUACACGGUGGAUGCCCUGGCAGUCAGAGGCGAUGAAGGACGUGCUAAUCUGCGAAAAGCGUCGGUAAGGUGAUAUGAACCGUUAUAACCGGCGAUGUCCGAAUGGGGAAACCCAGUGCAAUUCGUUGCACUAUCGUUAACUGAAUACAUAGGUUAACGAGGCGAACCGGGGGAACUGAAACAUCUAAGUACCCCGAGGAAAAGAAAUCAACCGAGAUUCCCCCAGUAGCGGUGAGCGAACGGGGAGCAGCCCAGAGUCUGAAUCAGCUUGUGUGUUAGUGGAACGGUCUGGAAAGUCCGACGGUACAGGGUGAUAGUCCCGUACACCAAAAUGCACAGGUUGUGAACUCGAAGAGUAGGGCGGGACACGUGGUAUCCUGUCUGAAUAUGGGGGGACCAUCCUCCAAGGCUAAAUACUCCUGACUGACCGAUAGUGAACCAGUACCGUGAGGGAAAGGCGAAAAGAACCCCGGCGAGGGGAGUGAAAAAGAACCUGAAACCGUGUACGUACAAGCAGUGGGAGCACCUUCGGGUGUGACUGCGUACCUUUUGUAUAAUGGGUCAGCGACUUAUAUUCUGUAGCAAGGUUAACCGUAUAGGGGAGCCGCAGGGAAACCGAGUCUUAACUGGGCGUUAAGUUGCAGGGUAUAGACCCGAAACCCGGUGAUCUAGCCAUGGGCAGGUUGAAGGUUGGGUAACACUAACUGGAGGACCGAACCGACUAAUGUUGAAAAAUUAGCGGAUGACUUGUGGCUGGGGGUGAAAGGCCAAUCAAACCGGGAGAUAGCUGGUUCUCCCCGAAAGCUAUUUAGGUAGCGCCUCGUGAACUCAUCUUCGGGGGUAGAGCACUGUUUCGGCUAGGGGGUCAUCCCGACUUACCAACCCGAUGCAAACUACGAAUACCGAAGAAUGUUAUCACGGGAGACACACGGCGGGUGCUAACGUCCGUCGUGAAGAGGGAAACAACCCAGACCGCCAGCUAAGGUCCCAAAGUCAUGGUUAAGUGGGAAACGAUGUGGGAAGGCACAGACAGCCAGGAUGUUGGCUUAGAAGCAGCCAUCAUUUAAAGAAAGCGUAAUAGCUCACUGGUCGAGUCGGCCUGCGCGGAAGAUGUAACGGGGCUAAACCAUGCACCGAAGCUGCGGCAGCGACACUAUGUGUUGUUGGGUAGGGGAGCGUUCUGUAAGCCUGCGAAGGUGACCUGUGAGGGUUGCUGGAGGUAUCAGAAGUGCGAAUGCUGACAUAAGUAACGAUAAAGCGGGUGAAAAGCCCGCUCGCCGGAAGACCAAGGGUUCCUGUCCAACGUUAAUCGGGGCAGGGUGAGUCGACCCCUAAGGCGAGGCCGAAAGGCGUAGUCGAUGGGAAACAGGUUAAUAUUCCUGUACUUGGUGUUACUGCGAAGGGGGGACGGAGAAGGCUAUGUUAGCCGGGCGACGGUUGUCCCGGUUUAAGCAUGUAGGCUGGUUGUCCAGGCAAAUCCGGAUAAUCAAGGCUGAGGUGUGAUGACGAGGCACUACGGUGCUGAAGUAACAAAUGCCCUGCUUCCAGGAAAAGCCUCUAAGCAUCAGGUAACAUUAAAUCGUACCCCAAACCGACACAGGUGGUCAGGUAGAGAAUACCAAGGCGCUUGAGAGAACUCGGGUGAAGGAACUAGGCAAAAUGGUGCCGUAACUUCGGGAGAAGGCACGCUGGUGUGUAGGUGAAGCCCCUGCGGGUGGAGCUGAGACCAGUCGAAGAUACCAGCUGGCUGCAACUGUUUAUUAAAAACACAGCACUGUGCAAACACGAAAGUGGACGUAUACGGUGUGACGCCUGCCCGGUGCCGGAAGGUUAAUUGAUGGGGUUAUCCGUAAGGAGAAGCUCUUGAUCGAAGCCCCGGUAAACGGCGGCCGUAACUAUAACGGUCCUAAGGUAGCGAAAUUCCUUGUCGGGUAAGUUCCGACCUGCACGAAUGGCGUAAUGAUGGCCAGGCUGUCUCCACCCGAGACUCAGUGAAAUUGAACUCGCUGUGAAGAUGCAGUGUACCCGCGGCAAGACGGAAAGACCCCGUGAACCUUUACUAUAGCUUGACACUGAACAUUGAGCCUUGAUGUGUAGGAUAGGUGGGAGGCUUUGAAGCGUGGACGCCAGUCUGCGUGGAGCCAACCUUGAAAUACCACCCUUUAAUGUUUGAUGUUCUAACGUUGGCCCCUUAUCGGGGUUGCGGACAGUGUCUGGUGGGUAGUUUGACUGGGGCGGUCUCCUCCCAAAGCGUAACGGAGGAGCACGAAGGUUAGCUAAUCCUGGUCGGACAUCAGGAGGUUAGUGCAAUGGCAUAAGCUAGCUUGACUGCGAGCGUGACGGCGCGAGCAGGUGCGAAAGCAGGUCAUAGUGAUCCGGUGGUUCUGAAUGGAAGGGCCAUCGCUCAACGGAUAAAAGGUACUCCGGGGAUAACAGGCUGAUACCGCCCAAGAGUUCAUAUCGACGGCGGUGUUUGGCACCUCGAUGUCGGCUCAUCACAUCCUGGGGCUGAAGUAGGUCCCAAGGGUAUGGCUGUUCGCCAUUUAAAGUGGUACGCGAGCUGGGUUUAGAACGUCGUGAGACAGUUCGGUCCCUAUCUGCCGUGGGCGCUGGAGAAUUGAGGGGGGCUGCUCCUAGUACGAGAGGACCGGAGUGGACGCAUCACUGGUGUUCGGGUUGUCAUGCCAAUGGCACUGCCCGGUAGCUAAAUGCGGAAGAGAUAAGUGCUGAAAGCAUCUAAGCACGAAACUUGCCCCGAGAUGAGUUCUCCCUGAGACUUUAAGUCUCCUGAAGGAACGUUGAAGACGACGACGUUGAUAGGCCGGGUGUGUAAGCGCAGCGAUGCGUUGAGCUAACCGGUACUAAUGAACCGUGAGGCUUAACCUU